CAAAUCUCCUGCAAAAUUCUGAAAUGCCAGGUUUCUUUUUUUUCUUUUUUUUAAAUGAACAGGUCGUCUUCUACAAGUGCCGGGUCACUUGGACCCGGUUCCGACCCGAAUGAAAAAUCCGGUCAUAUAUCAUGAUUCCGACCACCAAAUUUUGCAAAUUUUAUAUCAAAAAUCUCAGAAAUCAAUUUCCUAAUGAUUCCUAGCUUUAUUUCCAUCAAAAACACAUGAAACAUGGAUCUGAAAUUUUUUUAAAAAUUACAGUAAAUUUCUGAAAAAUUUUGCAGAGAACAAAACGGCAAGGCAGAGGCAAAUAGUGCUCUGAUACCAACUGUUAGAGCUUUAUCACGAUCUAUCAUGUGAAUAAACAACAACAUAUAGAUCAAAUGCGGAAACUGAAGAUUAUAAACUAACCUCCAACCAUUGUCGUUUGAACUGCAGAAUUUCGAAUUGUGUUUGGUGCUUCCAAGCCUUCAAGACCUCUCUGCGAUGGUGUAGUUUCAUGAAAGUCUCGGCUGGGGGACCAAUACCACUUUAUUCCCUUUAUAUACUUCUUCCCAUCAAAGAAGUUACGAAACGUGAACGGUUACCACAAAGUAGGGAAGAUGGACAGUUAUGAGAAGGUGAGUUAUGAGAAG
rnacentral:lncRNA from 1 species